rnacentral:rRNA from 1 species
GACGAACGCUGGCGGCGUGCCUAAUACAUGCAAGUCGAACGCAGUGGGGACGGGUGAGUAACACGUGGGUAACCUCCCAUCAGAGGGGAUAACACUUGGAAACAGGUGCUAAACCGAUACUGAUUGAUGGACCCGCGGUGCAUUUGCUAGUUGGUGAGGUAACGGCUCACCAAGGCCACGAUGCAUAGCCGGCCUGAGAGGGUGAUCGGCAACACUGGGACUGAGACACGGCCAAGACUCCUACGGGAGGCAGCAGUGGGGAAUAUUCGGCAAUGGACGAAAGUCUGACCGAGCAACGCCGCGUGAGUGAAGAAGGUUUUCGGAUCGUAAAGCACUGUUGUUAGGGAGGCGGUAUCUAACCAGAAAGCCACGGCUAACUACGUGCCAGCCGCCGCGGUAAUUC